rnacentral:tmRNA from 1 species
GGGGACGAUUUUGGUUUCGACGGGGAUAAAAACAUCUUAUGUAAAGCAUGUGGUGGCUCCCAAACACCUUAAACUUGAGAGAGCGAAUUAAACGCAGAAAAAAAUGACAAUGUUGCUUUGGCUUACGCUGCGUAAGUUUAAAACAACGACCUGAUUGAUAAAUUUUCAAUCUGCUCACCUUUGAAUGCCUGACAAAGAGUUUGAGUAUCAUCCAAGGCAAAAUUUUUGUAGCAAGUGUCCUUUGUAGUUACAAAAAAAAUUGAAAGGAUUGAAUUUGAAACCUGUCUGUGGGUUAAUCAAAUUUGAAAUUCAAACAUAGACUAAACAUGUAGAAAGAUAUUAUGUUUUGUUUUCGGACGAGGGUUCAAUUCCCUCCGUCUCCACCA